rnacentral:rRNA from 1 species
UACGAAGGGGGGCUAGCGUUGUUCGGAAUUACUGGGCGUAGAGCGCACGUAGGCGGAUAUUUAAGUCAGGGGUGAAAUCCUGGAGCUCAACUCCAGAACUGCCUUUGAUACUGAGGAUCUUGAGUUCGGGAGAGGUGAGUGGAACUGCGAGUGUAGAGGUGAAAUUCGUAGAUAUUCGCAAGAACACCAGUGGCGAAGGCGGCUCACUGGCCCGAUACUGACGCUGAGGCACGAAAGCGUGGGGAGCAAACAGGG